UACGUAGGGGGCAAGCGUUGGUCCGGAAUCAUUGGGCGUAAAGAGCGUGUAGGCGGCUCGGUAAGUCCGCUGUGAAAGUCCAGGGCUCAACCCUGGAAUGCCGGUGGAAACUGUCGAGCUAGAGUCCGGAAGAGGCGAGUGGAAUUCCUGGUGUAGCGGUGAAAUGCGCAGAUAUCAGGAGGAACACCAAUGGCGAAGGCAGCUCGCUGGGACGGUACUGACGCUGAGACGCGAAAGCGUGGGGAGCGAACAGG
rnacentral:rRNA from 1 species